UUAAAUUGAAGAGUUUGAUCAUGGCUCAGAUUGAACGCUGGCGGCAGGCCUAACACAUGCAAGUCGAACGGUAACAGGAAGAAGCUUGCUUCUUUGCUGACGAGUGGCGGACGGGUGAGUAAUGUCUGGGAAACUGCCUGAUGGAGGGGGAUAACUACUGGAAACGGUAGCUAAUACCGCAUAACGUCGCAAGACCAAAGAGGGGGAACUUCGGGCCUCUUGCCCUCGGAUGUGCCCAGAUGGGAUUAGCUAGU
rnacentral:rRNA from 1 species